rnacentral:rRNA from 1 species
GACAGAGGGUGCAAACGUUGUUCGGAAUUACUGGGCGUAAAGCGCGUGUAGGCGGCCCUGCAAGUCGGAUGUGAAAUCCCACGGCUCAACCGUGUAAGUGCAUUCGAAACUGCAGGGCUAGAGUCCUGGAGAGGAAGGUGGAAUGCUUGGUGUAGAGGUGAAAUUCGUAGAUAUCAAGCGGAACACCGGUGGCGAAGGCGGCCUUCUGGACAGUGACUGACGCUGAGACGCGAAAGCGUGGGGAGCAAACAGG